GAUGAACGCUAGCGGCAGGCCUAAUACAUGCAAGUCGAACGAUAGUUGGGGCUUGCUCCAACGAAAAGUGGCGCACGGGUGCGUAACGCGUAUGCAACCUGCCUUAAUCAGGGGGAUAGCCCGAAGAAAUUCGGAUUAACACCGCAUAAAAUCACAGUACAGCAUUGUACAAUGAUCAAAUAUUUAUAGGAUUAAGAUGGGCAUGCGUGUCAUUAGUUAGUUGGCGGGGUAACGGCCCACCAAGACCACGAUGACUAGGGGAUCUGAGAGGAUGACCCCCCACACUGGUACUGAGACACGGACCAGACUCCUACGGGAGGCAGCAGUAAGGAAUAUUGGUCAAUGGAGGCAACUCUGAACCAGCCAUGCCGCGUGCAGGAAGACAGCCCUCCGGGUCGUAAACUGCUUUUAUUCGGGAAUAAACCUCAAUACGUGUAUUGAGCUGAAUGUACCGAAGGAAUAAGGAUCGGCUAACUCCGUGCCAGCAGCCGCGGUAAUACGGAGGAUCCAAGCGUUAUCCGGAUUUAUUGGGUUUAAAGGGUGCGUAGGCGGCUUAUUAAGUCAGGGGUGAAAGACGGUGGCUCAACCAUCGCAGUGCCUUUGAUACUGAUGAGCUUGAAUGAACUAGAGGUAGGCGGAAUGUGACAAGUAGCGGUGAAAUGCAUAGAUAUGUCACAGAACACCGAUUGCGAAGGCAGCUUACUAUGGUUUAAUUGACGCUGAGGCACGAAAGCGUGGGGAUCAAACAGGAUUAGAUACCCUGGUAGUCCACGCCCUAAACGAUGAAUACUCGCUGUUAGCGAUACACAGUUAGCGGCUAAGCGAAAGCGUUAAGUAUUCCACCUGGGGAGUACGCCCGCAAGGGUGAAACUCAAAGGAAUUGACGGGGGCCCGCACAAGCGGAGGAGCAUGUGGUUUAAUUCGAUGAUACGCGAGGAACCUUACCCGGGCUUGAAAGUUAGUGAAUCAUUCAGAGAUGGAUGAGUGAGCAAUCACACGAAACUAGGUGCUGCAUGGCUGUCGUCAGCUCGUGCUGUGAGGUGUUGGGUUAAGUCCCGCAACGAGCGCAACCCCUAUGUUUAGUUGCCAGCACGUUAAGGUGGGGACUCUAAACAGACUGCCUGUGCAAACAGAGAGGAAGGAGGGGACGACGUCAAGUCAUCAUGGCCCUUACGUCCGGGGCUACACACGUGCUACAAUGGAUGGUACAGAGGGCAGCAAGCUGGCAACAGCAAGCGAAUCUCAAAAAGCCAUUCACAGUUCGGAUAGAGGUCUGCAACUCGACCUCUUGAAGUUGGAUUCGCUAGUAAUCGCGUAUCAGCAAUGACGCGGUGAAUACGUUCCCGGGCCU
rnacentral:rRNA from 1 species